GACGAACGCUGGCGGCGUGCUUAACACAUGCAAGUCGAACGGAAAGGCCCUCUUAUGGUGUACUCGAGGGGUGAACGGGGGGGUAGCACGAGGGUAACAUACCCUUCUCCUUUUUAUAACUUCAUGAAGCAGGGGCGAAUACUCGAGAAGAGCACCUGCUGCACGGUGGGGGUUGGAGAAUCUUGGCGGCUGGGGAUGGGCUGGCGGCUGAUCAGCUUGUUGGUGGGGGAGUGGCUGACCAAGGAUUUGACGGGUAGCCGGCCUGAGAGGGGGGCCGGCCACAUUGGGACUGAGAUACGGCCCAGACUGCUACGGGAGGCAGCAGUGGGGAAUAUUGCACAAUGGGCGGAAGCCUGAUGCAGCAACGCCGCGUGCGGGAUGACGGCCUUCGGGUUGUAAACCGCUUUCGCCUGUGACGAAGCGUGAGUGACGGUAAUGGGUAAAGAAGCACCGGCUAACUACGUG
rnacentral:rRNA from 1 species